UAACGUGAUCGGUCAACAAUAUUGACUUCUUUGUAACCUUGAGUACUUGUGUAUUCUGUUUAGCGUCUAUCAGUCGCAAUUAGAUCGUAGCAGGAUGAACAUCGUACGAGUCAUAAGCGUUAUAACCUAAAUUAUAUUGUAUUUUAUAUUAAUACAAGAGGUCGGUGGGCGGGGAUGAGAUGGGAGCAAAGAAGAAGAAGAAUAAAAAAAUAAUAAGAAGAAAAAGA